AUAGCUAUAGUAUAAUCAAUACCUUUGAUUUCCAAUCAAAUGAUCUUCAUUCACUUAAAGUAGUUAUA
rnacentral:tRNA from 1 species